GAGGUAAUUGAAACAAGCACUGUGGUUGCCACUUGGAUGCAGGAUGUUCCUAGGAGCCCACUUCAUCACAUGGGGUGGGUAAUAGAUGGGAGGACUCAUUUGUUUAUUUCAGGACAAAGGCCAGGGGUUGAGGGUCGCAGUGGUCAAAGUUCUUUCGUGUCCAUAGCACAGAGUGGUGGGAGGAGUCAUAAAAAAUCUAUUUUUUAUGUUUGACUGUUGGGGGGAGGGAGGCGCCCUGAUGGGGUGACAGCCUCCCCAGCUGUUCUCUUGUCCCACCCUGGGAAUGUCAUGUCUGUGGUCCUGGAGCCCCAGCAGGUGGUCCUGCCCAGCCCUGCUGGUGAAUCUAGCCAUGUCGUUGUCAAAUCGCCCUUCGCUUUGAACCGCUUUAGUUGCCUUCAGCUACAAACUCUCAGUUGUAAAGAUUUACUCUGAAGACACUGGGGUGUCCCUUGUUACAUUUUUAAUUAACAGACCUUGGACUUCAUGCAAGCAGUUUAGUCCUGAGACGGCAACAAGGCGCAGAAUGAACACAGAGCAUGCUGCUCUCCUGGGUGACUCCAAAACAAGGUCGACCAGCAUGUGGCUGAGCCAAUGAACCCAGGCAAGAUGUGAAGAGACCUGCCCCUCCGGGAGCUGACGAACAUCGCCUUGUGCCUGCCUCCUCCUUGACAGCCCCUGAUUUAAUGCAGAGAUGGAGGCAGGGGAGCAUCUGAGUCUGUUCGGGUAGCAGCAAGACUCCUUCCCGCCCACACCAACCCCAGCUAGCCUCAGAGAAGGCUACACAGCCUUGCAGAGGAGAAGGGGCUGUGAAAUCUGCUGGAUUCAUUCCUUUCAAAGCACUUUACCAAUGUGCACACACAGGCCCUCCAUUCUCUCAGGAAGAUCAAAAAGCAGCCCAGAUAAGCUGAGAUGGAUGAGUCUCUCUAGAACAGUGCACGAUACCUAGGGUGAUCAAUAAAGUGUUUGUAGAAUAAGCAAGUGAAUUAAUAAAUAUGUGAAUGAAUGAAACCAUUUUUUUGAAAAUGACUUCCGUUGAGUUCCACAGAGCAGAAUUUGAAAACUCAGUGAUUUGUCAGUUGUUGCCAACCCAUCUCCGUGGUUCAAAAUAAGCACUAAUUCUCACACGCGCAGAUUCACAGGUGACUCAUGGCUCUGCGACCCGGGCUCUGCGACAUGGGCUCUGCUGGAUAGGGUGCAGGCUGUGGAUUGGGCUCAGAUCUGCUCCACACGUGUGCGCACUGGACCGAGUAUCAAGGGACAGUAGCUCCUGUUAUAAAGAGAGCACACGCUCAUCACAGCAGAUCCCCAGGAGCAAGAGUGAGCCAAGCUGCACAUUUAAUCCCUUUGCUCUCAUCACUUCUGCUGACUUCCAAAUGGUCAAAGCAAGUCACACAGCCAAACAUCAGCAGGGUGGGAAGUGUUCUCCACCUGCAGUGUGAAGGGGAGAGAGUGAAUAUUUGCUUAAUGAUAAUCUAAACUGUCACAAAAACCCUGGCCCUAGAGAGUGGCUCGACCAGCUUUAAUGUUGUGAUGGGUCACAAUCUAAGAGGCUCUGAGAUUGCUAUUGUUUAAAAUUAAUUAAUAAAUGAAAAUAAAUGCCAGAAUCUGACAUGCCCUGAGGGAUGAGUCACAGUGACAGCUAGUGCAGGCGCACCCCACAGCCAUCUGCCAG
rnacentral:lncRNA from 10 species